CUCGAUACAAGCUCAUAAGGUAGCUUGCAAUGCAACCUACAAGCUCAAUGAGGGAGCUUGCAUCCUGUUUCAAAGAAAUGAAUAGACUGAAAUUUUUCCUCCCUUAUUCAAAUCCAUGCAUAAAUAAGUCUACUAAUUGAACCUUUUUUGGGAAUACAGUAAUUAAGGAAUUACAACUAUUGUUCCUAUAAUUCCUCCAAUCACAAAUCAUGGGAAUAAUUUAUUGCAUAAUUUGUAAAUAAGAUAAUCAUAAAGUAAUUGUUUCUUUCUUAAUUUUGCUUGCAUAUUUGGAUGAGAGGAAGAAAAUUACUUCUUACCCACUCCUGGAAGGUCUCCUGCAACUAAGAUCGGCUGUUGGAUUGCAUUUUACCAAUCUGGAGGUCUCCUGCAAUUUAGGUGGGCGACCAGAUUGUGUUCUAUCCAUCUUGCAGUCGCCCCCUUCAAUCUGGUUGCUCUGUUUGGGGUUUACCCAUCCUUUGGUCGACCAGUCCUCUCUUUUGGCCCAGCCUACUGUUUGUUUCUUUAAAUUAUUUUGCCACAUUAAUUGUAAGGUCUCCCCAAAACUUAUCUAUUGCUCGGCUUGUAUCAGCUUGUCAUAGUGGAACUUAAUUUUUUAGAAAACUCAUUGGUGAAUAAUGAAACGUGAUCUUCCGGAAACAUGCACUGCAAUGAAGUAUGUCUCUUGCGGAAUCAAAGGAUUCACUCCCAGAGAUCACAUAUUGUGCAAGAGUAGUAAACACCAAGUCUUUCGGCAUAAUGCUUUACCCCGAUUAUUUCUUUCUGAUGCAUUCAUAAUUCACAAAAACAUAGUGUCUAAGCACUUUAACCUGAAUUCAUGAAGUCUGCAUUCUUCAUCUUUUGUUAUUUGUACUGCAUUUUUCUAAUGUUUCUUUUGUUAAUGCUUCUUAGUACAGGUAGGCACGUUGAUUUAUGUUGGGGUUGUAAAGGGGAUGAAUCUGGAAUUUUCUUGCACUGAUGGCUGGUUACUUUACAUGCAUUAUUUGUAUUUCAUAUAAAUGUGUUGUUUGUUCUAUUUAACUAUUACAAACCAUUAAUGAGUCUCUACUCUAAAUUUUUUUUUUUGUGAUUUAUAGCCGGUGGGAAGCUGUAGAAUUUGGUGUCCUCAAUGAUGGCUACACGUUUGAAUACUCAACUGGUCUAUCAAGAAUGUGAGGCAUCUGCUUCCAGCUUAACUUUUAAGAGGACAAAACACUGUCGUAGAACGGUUACUAUACAACAAAAUUAUGAGGCUACCAUCAUCUCUCUUUUUGUUGUGGUGACGGACCUCAUUUAUUUUUAGGCUGUUGAGCUCACCUACAUAACUGGUUCUCGAGGCUCUUGGCAAUAAACUCUUCUUUGAGAUAGCAGUUGGCUUAAAUGGCCGCCUUUUGGUGAAUGCCACCUCCUUGUCGACAGUCAUCAUUGUUGCAAACGCACUCAUGAACUCACAGAUUUUGAGUGGGGUGCAGCAGAAAAUUAUGGCAGAUAAACUGCUUCAGAAAAUACAAACAUGAUUAGAGAAUUGCCGACAUUGUAUGGAUCUUCCAUCUUCAUUUCAUGCAGAAGUUCAAAUACACCAAGAUUUAACAGCUACUGGUUCAUUUCUCAUUGUUGUAAAACCGUCUUGUAAGUCAUCAGUUAGAGGGUAUUUUGGAUAAUUCAUUAGGCUUCCCUCCCUUUCCUUCUGGGACAGACAGUGACCAGUUUGUAAUUUUGAGGGUAGAAGUAAAUGAACUGUUGAGGACAAGAAUGCCUUUUCGAAGCUAUAUCUGGCAAAUUUACUUUAGCAACUCUUCAUCAAUGAUACAGGUUAUGAACCAAGAAUUAAAUUGGAGCUGUCCUUAUGCUUCUGGUGGCAGGCAUAUAAACUAAUUAUGAGAAUUAUGCAACAGAAUGUCAUUAAUGCUGGGGAUGGAAUUGUCAUCGAUUCAAGGAAUUUUUACACUGUCUAGACUAGUCGUUAAUUUGUUUUAUUUAAGAACCCUAGCUAAAUAAUGCAAGCGUACAAUUUAUGGGUCCAUUAAUUUUCUGAGCAGAAGGUCAGUGGGUAUGACACUGCUCUGUGGUCUGUAUACAUAUGUGCUUGGUAUAUAUGCAUAAGCAGGCAGCACUUUUGAUCA